GACGAACGCUGGCGGCGUGCUUAACACAUGCAAGUCGUACGAUGACCCGGCUCUUCGGAGCUGGUGAUUAGUGGCGAACGGGUGAGUAACACGUGGGUGACCUGCCCUGCACUCUGGGAUAAGCCCGGGAAACUGGGUCUAAUACUGGAUACGACCAGUGGCCGCAUGGUCUGCUGGUGGAAAGCCCUUCGGGGUGGUGUGGGAUGGGCCCGCGGCCUAUCAGCUUGUUGGUGGGGUGAUGGCCUACCAAGGCGACGACGGGUAGCCGGCCUGAGAGGGUGUCCGGCCACACUGGGACUGAGACACGGCCCAGACUCCUACGGGAGGCAGCAGUGGGGAAUCUUGCACAAUGGGCGAAAGCCUGAUGCAGCGACGCCGCGUGAGGGAUGACGGCCUUCGGGUUGUAAACCUCUUUCGGCAGGGAACAAGCCUGGGGGUUGUCUUCUGGGUGAGGGUACCUGCGGAAGAAGCACCGGCUAACUACGUG
rnacentral:rRNA from 1 species